AAACCUACCUUCUCAGCUCUGCGUCCUUCUCUGACACCCUUUAUUUUCCAAAUUCUCGAAUUCCUUAGAUCAAGUUUUCCCAAUUACUCAGAACGAGAAUUUGGAAUAUCGGAAACCAAACACGACCCCUCUGGUAAUUUGUAUUUGUGUCCAAUGAAUGUGCCUUUGAAUCAUUCUUGGAUCUUCAUUGUUUUCUUAUUUAUAUCCUUGAAUCGUCUUCAUCACAGAAUGUAGCUAUGAAGUAGCUUUAGAAUCUGGCAACUUUUUGUGCUUGUUUCAAUGUUCAUCAAAAUUUUCGAACAUAUUUUCAUGAAUCUUAGGGUUUUGUAGUUCGAUUUGGGAUACAAAUGUACAACUUUUGAGUUAGCAAUGGGAAAGAACCACAUUUUCGGAAGAGGGCGAUGAAGAUACUAUGCAGGCAGAUUAUGUGCCCAAUGACCGCCCAGCUUGUUGCUGCAGGUGGUUUUUGUGGUUGUAAAUGAUGUUUGCCUUACUCAUCUGAGUGUACUGUCUUCCUAUUCCUGUCCUUUUAUCUCUUCAUUUCAGCCCAGUUGUAAAACUCAAAAAUUGAUUGAAUUUGCAGUUGGUUCGAUAUUGUUAACUUGUUAGCUUGCAUGAUUCGG